ACGAACGCUGGCGGCAUGCCUAACACAUGCAAGUCGAACGAGACCUUCGGGUCUAGUGGCGCACGGGUGCGUAACGCGUGGGAACCUGCCCUUAGGUUCGGAAUAACUCCCCGAAAGGGGUGCUAAUACCGGAUAAUGUCUUCGGACCAAAGAUUUAUCGCCUUUGGAUGGGCCCGCGUUGGAUUAGCUAGUUGGUAGGGUAAAAGCCUACCAAGGCGACGAUCCAUAGCUGGUCUGAGAGGAUGAGCAGCCACACUGGGACUGAGACACGGCCCAGACUCCUACGGGAGGCAGCAGUGGGGAAUAUUGGACAAUGGGCGAAAGCCUGAUCCAGCAAUGCCGCGUGAGUGAUGAAGGCCUUAGGGUUGUAAAGCUCUUUUACCCGGGAUGAUAAUGACAGUACCGGGAGAAUAAGCUCCGGCUAACUCCGUG
rnacentral:rRNA from 1 species